rnacentral:rRNA from 1 species
UACGUAGGCAGCGAGCGUUGUUCGGAUUUACUGGGCGUAAAGAGCGUGUAGGCGGCCAGGUAGGUCUGCUGUGAAAACUCGAGGCUCAACCUCGAGACGUCGAUGGAAACCAUCUGGCUAGAGUCCGGAAGAGGAGAGUGGAAUUCCCGGUGUAGCGGUGAAAUGCGCAGAUAUCGGGAAGAACACCCGUGGCUAAGGCGGCUCUCUAGUACGGUACUGACGCUGAGACGCGAAAGCGUGGGGAGCGAACAGG